UACGUAGGGUGCAAGCGUUAAUCGGAAUUACUGGGCGUAAAGCGUGCGCAGGCGGCUUUGCAAGACAGAUGUGAAAUCCCCGGGCUUAACCUGGGAACUGCAUUUGUGACUGCAUGGCUGGAGUGCGGCAGAGGGGAUGGAAUUCCGGCGUGUAGCAGUGAAAUGCGUAGAUAUGCGGAGGAACACCGAUGGCGAAGGCAAUCCCCUGGGCCUGCACUGACGCUCAUGCACGAAAGCGUGGGGAGCGAAACAAGG
rnacentral:rRNA from 1 species